rnacentral:lncRNA from 1 species
GGAGAAGAAAACGACUAGCACCUGAUCUCUGCCUUAUUAGAAAUGCAAUAUAAAAUAUUGAAGUUGCCAAACUGAACAGGAAGAAGUCAGUGGAAAACAUGUUUACUAUGAGAUUACAGACAAAAGGUUGUCAAGUCUUAGAAGAACAGAAAGAAAAAGAAACUUCACUCAAGUACUUCAAUAUCCAAGUGUAUUGUAAAGAAGAAGGAAUCAAGCAAUUGAACACUGAGGUACCAGGCGAAGGAACCUAAGCAAGCCAGGGGAAGGAGGCUGUGUUUCACUACAGAAUUUGAAACCAGAUCCCAGAUGUCCUAGAACACAGCAAAGUCUCAAAGAGGAAGACGUCAUAAUGGGAAUAGAGGGAGUCAUCACACUAUGGAUUCUUCUACAUCUUUUACAACACGCUCUUGUUCAAUAGGCACCCCCGAAUCAUGACCUCUGGAAGGAUGAAGGUCAAUGAGACAAGCCAUACACCUCUCUAUCUUUUGCCUAAAGAACAAUUUUCUAACUUUGCAACUUG